rnacentral:lncRNA from 1 species
ACUACAGCCUCAGUGCAUGGCGGUGGGCGCUUCCAGUAACUCAGGGGUGGGACUUUUUUCUUGCUCAGGGGAUGAGGCCGAGCCCACAGGCUUAGAAAGAAGGAACUUGAGUCCGGGCACCUGUCAUCCCAGCGCUUAGGGAGGCCGAGGCGGGUGGAUCACCUGAGGUCAGGAGUUCGAGACCAGCCUGGCCAAUAUGGCGAAACCCCCGUCUCUACUAAAAAUACAAAAAUUAGCCGAGCAUGGUGGCAUGCACUUCCAGCUACUUGGAAGGCUGAGGCGGGAGAAUGGCUUGAACCUGGGAGGCGAGGGUUGCAGUGAGCUGAGAUCGCACCACUGCACUCCAGCCUGGGUGACAGAGCGAGACUUCGUCUCAAAAAAAAAGAAGAAGAAAGAAGGAAGCUGAGGUUCAGACAGGCUAAGUCCCUACUGCAGGCUGCGGAAUCUAAAAAGGUAGGUGCCAGGGUUUGCAACCCACACUUUUAUUUUGGUCUCAGGUAGCUGAUGUCAUUCCAGUCUAUGGCAAAGAAGGUGGCAAAUCCAUUAACAUAGAUGAAGAAUUUCAUUUUACUUUUUAGUUUUAUUUAUUUAUUUAUUUUUAUUAUGUAUCAUGCUUUUAAUACAAACUUUAAAAAAUCUGGAACAAUAGAAACUGUACAGAUUUGAUCAAUCUUUUUGUUUUGUUUUUAAACUAAAAUCUCUAAACACACCAAUGUCCUAUUCCAAAAUAUUGCACAACAUUCUGAAUACAAAACCCUUGAUUGUAUUCCUCCUUCACUGAAGAAAAAACUUCAUGACCCUGCUCCCCGGGCUCCUCUCCAGGCUUGCGUCAAUGCCCCCUUCCCAUCCCUAGGGAGAAAACUAGAGAAUCUAUAACUCACUGCAUUGAGAAAAAGACAUCAUUCUGGACUAACAGUUUCCAUUCUUCAGAAGAUAAUCCACCUUUUGAUUUGUUCCUGGGAAACAGGGAUAGAUAGAGGAUGGGGAAAGGGGAGAAAAGUUCAUGACCCUGCUCCCUUGGCUCCUGUCCAUGCUUGCCUGGCCUCCUGGGGUUGGAGGAACAAGCUCUCUCCUGGCAGAGGCAGGAGAGAGUUUUAUUUUUUAGAAACAGUUUCGCUUUGUUGCACAGGCUGGAGUGCAGUGGUACAAUCACGGCUCACUGCAUCCUCGACCUCCCCAACUCUAGUGAUCCUCCCAUCUUAGCCUCCUGAGUAGCUGAGAUUGCAGGCAUGUGCCACCACACUGGCUAACUUUUUUUUAACUUUUAUUUUUUGUAGAGAUGAGGUGUCGCUAUGUUGCCCUGGCUAGUCUUGAACUCCAAUCCUUCCACCUCGGCCUUAAAUAAUUUUAAUAGUUGACAUGCACAUGGCAUUUACUAUUGGCCGGCAUUAUUUUAAGGUGCCUGCUCUGAAGGAAUUCUGUUAGCCUUCCUAAAUUAUUCCCUUGGCCAUUGGAAACAUAGGCAUGAGAUCAUUUUUAGAUAAUUGGAAAAGCAGAGAAAUCUGUGAAGAUAGAAUGGGAAAAAAAAUGCAUUUCACUAAACCAACAUGCCAUUGAUUGUGAGAUUCCACAUUACUUUAUGUAGCCCCACGGCUGCCCUUAAACCAUGACACAUGCUUUAUUUACAGUUCAUAUUUUACUUAUUCGUAGACCUCAAGAGGCAUUCUGUGCUUCCCUCUUCCUUCUGGAAGCUUCAUGAGAAGGGACAUUUUCCUCAAAGGAUGGACAACAGAAACAACUCAAAUAUUCAUUUCCUUUAAAUAUGGUUUUUAAGACAAUUUUCUUUAGAAAGCCACAUUUACCUGUUGGGGGUUGAUUUAUGCUCACCCCCCUCCCAAAUAUAUGUUGGAAUGCUAACCCCCUAUUCCUCAGAAUGUGACUUUAUUUGGAGACAGGUUCUUUACAGAGGUAAUAAAGUUAAAAUGAGUAAAUAGGGUGGGCCAUAACCCAAAAUGACAGCUGUCCUUAUAAAAAGGGUGCAUUUGCACGCAGAGACACGCAUAGAGAGAACAUGAUAUGUAGAGGCACAGGGAGAAGGCCGCCAUCUGCAAACCAGGGAGAGAGGCCUGGAGCAAAUUCUUCUUCAUGGCUCUUAGAAGGAACCAUCCCUGCCUACACCCUGAUUUCAGAUUUCCAGCCUCCAGAAGCGUGAGGCGAUAAAUGUCUGUUGCUGCAGCCACAGGUUGGCGGUGCUUUGCUGCAGUAGCCUUAGCACCUGAUAGAUGGUCUCUUUACAUGUCAAGCACAUUGCAGCGCACAUUUGACACACAGGGAGAUGGAAGCUCCUGGAGGAUAAGUGUUUUGUCUGUGAUUUUGAAGGUUGCAAGUGGAGGAACUGGGAUUCGAACCCCUCUCUGUGUGAUGCCUAUGCCUCCUCUGUGUUAACAUUUAUUUUUACUUAUUUUUAUUUUUUAGUUUUUGUAGAGAUGAGGGUCUCACUAUAUUGCCCAGGCUGGUCUUGAACUCCUGGGCCCAAACGAUCCUCCUGCCUUGGCCUCCUGGUCUUGGGAUUACA